GGCGAUUCUUGGGUGAUGCACCCCAGAACCAGAGAGGAGGGAGCCUGAUUCCGGGGUGCAUCACCGGAGAACUGCC
rfam:Myotis brandtii contig229262, whole genome shotgun sequence.